rnacentral:RNase_P_RNA from 1 species
GGAGUAAGUUGUAUGGUCGCAUGCGAGAGCAUGAGGAAAGUCCGUGCUCCACAGAGCAAGAUGCUGGGUAAUACCCAGUGGGGGUGACCCUAAGGAUAGUGCAACAGAAAUAUACCGCCUUUAAUGGCAAGGGUGGAAAGGUGAGGUAAGAGCUCACCAGCAUUUAGGUGACUAAGUGGCUAUGUAAACCCCAUCUGGAGCAAGACCAAGUAGGAGCCACAAAAGAUAGUUGCUCGCUAUCGCUCCAAAGGUAGGUCGCUUGAGCAUAUUGGCGACAAUGUGCCUAGAUAGAUGACCAUAUAAACAGAACACGGCUUACAGACUUACUCGUUAC